GAUGAACGCUAGCGGCAGGCCUAAUACAUGCAAGACGAACGGUAAGUUUGAUAGCAAUAUUGAACCUAGAGUGUCGUAAGGGUGCGUAACACGUAUGCAAUCUACCCUCAACAGGAGGAUAGCUCCCCGAAAGGGGAAUUAACACUCCAUAAGAUCACAGGAUGGCAUCAUUCAGUGAUUAAAACUCCGGUGGUUGAGGAUGAGCAUGCGCAUGAUUAGUUAGUUGGCGGGGUAAUGGCCCACCAAGACGAUGAUCAUUAGGGGAACUGAGAGGUUGAUCCCCCACACUGGCACUGAGAUACGGGCCAGACUCCUACGGGAGGCAGCAGUAGGGAAUAUUGGACAAUGGGUGCGAGCCUGAUCCAGCCAUGCCGCGUGCAGGAAGACGGCCUUCUGGGUUGUAAACUGUCUUUUCGCCGAGGGAAUAAAACGACCAUGCGUGGUACUAAUUAGGAAGGUACCGUGGUAGAAUAAGCCACGGACUAACGUACGUGU
rnacentral:rRNA from 1 species